GCCAAGGGCAUUGCUGGGUAGCUACGUUCGGACGGGAUAAACGCUGAAAGCAUCUAAGUGUGAAGCCCUCCUCAAGAUGAGAUUUCCCUCUCUUAAUGAGAUAAGGUCCCUGGAAGACUACCAGGUUGAUAGGCCGGAAGUAAAAGUGUAGCAAUACAUGAAGCGUACCGGUACUAAUAGACCGAAGACUUGACCACAA
rnacentral:rRNA from 1 species